AAAGGGGCUUCGGCUCCGAGUAAAGUGGCGCACGGGUGAGUAAUACGUGGGUAACCUGCCUCUAAGACUGGGACAACUUGUCGAAAGACGAGCUAAUACCGGAUAAGACCACAGUUCCCGAGGGGACAGAGGUCAAAGGUAGCCUCUAUUUAUAAGCAAUCGCUUAAAGAUGGGCCCGCGCACCAUUAGCUAGUUGGUGGGGUAAUGGCCCACCAAGGCAAAGAUGGUUAGCUGGUCUGAGAGGAUGAUCAGCCACACUGGAACUGAGACACGGUCCAGACUCCUACGGGAGGCAGCAGUGGGGAAUAUUGCGCAAUGGGCGAAAGCCUGACGCAGCAACGCCGCGUGAGUGAUGAAGGCCCUCGGG
rnacentral:rRNA from 1 species